UGGGGAAUUUUGGACAAUGGGGGCAACCCUGAUCCAGCAAUGCCGCGUGUGUGAAGAAGGCCUUCGGGUUGUAAAGCACUUUUGUCCGGAAAGAAAACGCCGUGGUUAAUACCCGUGGCGGAUGACGGUACCGGAAGAAUAAGCACCGGCUAACUACGUGCCAGCAGCCGCGGUAAUACGUAGGGUGCAAGCGUUAAUCGGAAUUACUGGGCGUAAAGCGUGCGCAGGCGGUCCGCUAAGACAGAUGUGAAAUCCCCGGGCUUAACCUGGGAACUGCAUUUGUGACUGGCGGGCUAGAGUAUGGCAGAGGGGGGUAGAAUUCCACGUGUAGCAGUGAAAUGCGUAGAGAUGUGGAGGAAUACCGAUGGCGAAGGCAGCCCCCUGGGCCAAUACUGACGCUCAUGCACGAAAAGCGUGGGGGAGCAAACAGGAUUAGAUACCCUGGUAGUCCACGCCCUAAACGAUGUCAACUAGUUGUCGGGUCUUCAUUGACUUGGUAACGUAGCUAACGCGUGAAGUUGA
rnacentral:rRNA from 1 species